CGAGAGGCUUCGUCAAUGGGGGCAACCCUGAACGAGCGACGCCGCGUGGGUGAUGAAGGCCUUACGGUCGUAAAGCCCUGUCAGAGGGGAAGAAACGCCAUGGUGCUAAUACCAUCGUGGUUUGACGUUACCCUCAAAGGAAGCUCCGGCUAACUCCGUGCCAGCAGCCGCGGUAACACGGGGGGAGCGAACGUUGUUCGGAAUCACUGGGCGUAAAGGGCGCGCAGGCGGCCUGGUAAGUGGGAUGUGAAAGCCCCUGGCUCAAUCAGGGAACUGCAUCUCAGACUGCCGGGCUUGAGGACGGGAGAGGAAACGGGAAUUCCCGGUGUAGCGGUGAUAUGCACUGAUAUCGGGAGGAACACCAGUGGCGAAGGCGCGUUUCUGGCCCGCUCCUGACGCUCAGGCGCGAAAGCUGGGGGAGCAAAC
rnacentral:rRNA from 1 species